CGAACGCUGGCGGCGUGCCUAAUACAUGCAAGUCGAACGCACUCUCGUUUAGAUUGAAGGAGCUUGCUCCUGAUUGAUAACAUUUGAGUGAGUGGCGGACGGGUGAGUAACACGUGGGUAACCUGCCCUAAAGUGGGGGAUAACAUUUGGAAACAGAUGCUAAUACCGCAUAAAACCUAACACCGCAUGGUGUAGGGUUGAAAGAUGGUUUCGGCUAUCACUUUAGGAUGGACCCGCGGUGCAUUAGUUAGUUGGUGAGGUAAAGGCUCACCAAGACCGUGAUGCAUAGCCGACCUGAGAGGGUAAUCGGCCACACUGGGACUGGGACACGGCCCAGACUCCUACGGGAGGCAGCAGUAGGGAAUCUUCCACAAUGGACGAAAGUCUGAUGGAGCAACGCCGCGUGAGUGAAGAAGGUUUUCGGAUCGUAAACUCUGUUGUUGGAGAAGAAUGUAUCUGAUAGUAACUGAUCAGGUAGUGACGGUAUCCAACCAGAAAGCCACGGCUAACUACGUG
rnacentral:rRNA from 1 species